rnacentral:lncRNA from 10 species
GGAAAGACCAGGGACAAUGAAAGUGGAGGAGCAGCCAGGAAAGGAGAAGCCACUGUGUCUGCAGGACAGGGGCUCCCAGAGCAAAGGGGAGAUAAAGGGGACACCUGUGACCUCAGGGAGGACACUGCACAUGGCAGGGACACCAUUUUAGCACAACUGGGUGUGUGAGGAGAGGGCACUGUGAGAAGUCAAGUGCCUGGAGCUGUGGCAGAGAAAGAGGCAGCAUCUGCAAGAGCUGAAGGUGUGAGAUCAUGGUCACUGGCUCCUGCUGCAUGUCAGCGUCUCCCUGUCACCCAGGCCCGCCCCAUCGCCAGGUGGCUUUGCCAGAUUCAUCUCUGAAACCACAACAAGUGCGUGGAGCAGCUAUUUGAGCACCAGGAAAGGAAAUUGUACGCAGUGGUUUGGGAUGGCCCCAGCAGAUGAAAUACAACAGUCAGUGUGAGACUCCUAUUUUUUCUCGGUGUCCCCUGGCAGGAUUCCAGACAGCCCCAAAUCUGAAGGGGCACAAACUUGAAAACAAAAAGAAGUCCAGAAAUCCCUCUUGUUCAGGAUUGAGGAUAGGAAAGGAAACUUCUUCGGCUCAAAGUGAAGGCUCAGUCCCCUACUCCACACCCCUGUUCUCAUCUCUCUUGCACCAGUGCCUCUCCCUGGGUUCACACUGAUAUCCUAUGGAUGGAGAUGAUAUUUCCUGCACCAGGUCACUCCACAGCCCCUGUUAACCUGAAGAGGUGCAGACCAGCACUGUUCAAUCACAGUAUGAUGAGCCUAAUGGGAAUCCCACUAGGCUAGUCUAGUCACCACAUUAGACAUAUAAAGAGAAGAAGGUGAUCCUGGGUGUCUGUCCUGGGGCCACUGACACUGAGGGUGGCUGUGUCAGCACAUAUGAGGCCACAGAGCCUGCAAGGAGAGAAAAGAGGAGCGAAAAGGCCUGAAACUCUGGGGAUUAACCAAAGAAUAUCUUGCCACUUGCCUGAACUGACCUGAGCCCCAGGAAUAAAAGUGCCCUUAGGGCACCAAGAGAACAGGAGCACAGUGUGGGGGGAUUUCUGCCCCACCAGCCCCCUGCCCUGCGGCAGGUUCAUGAGCAUCCUGCCCACCACAGGUAGGGCCCUACUGAGCUCAGUGUUAGGGCCAGGCUGGACCCAGAGGCCUGGGGCUGGGCAAGUGAGUGAGACCCUGGGGGCAGCACCUGUGCAGUGAGGGAGGAGGCCGAGGAGGAAAGGGGUCCAGGCCAUGGCUGAGGCACCCCCGAUGCUGCUUCCCAAGACCCAGGCUGAGCAGGUUCCUCCCAGGCCUCUCUUAUCCCCUUGCUGGAUAAAGCGGCCAUGAUGCAAAUCAGCAGAGUCAGGGGCUGCUGCUGGAGUAGCUCUGUGGUUUUUAGAGAAGGGCUCAGCCCCAAAGGGCCCAGGAAGGAGAGGAGUGGUCCCAGCAGACCCACUCUCAGCACACGGGUUUCUUCUUCCUCUCCUGGUUCUAUUCUGGGCCGACAUCUUCACCCCAAAUUGUGUCUCAAACUGGCUUUACUCCUGGGCUGUCCUGGCCCUAUAGAGCUCCGAGGUAAGUCUGUCUGCGUUUUUGGGCUCCAUUCUACAGGUGCCAAAACCAGGCUUUGAGAAGUUCUGGGUCUUGCUCUUGAGCACAGCUCCUGAGCUGCAGAACUUGAAUAAAAUUUCUCCCUUGCUAAGUGAACAUGGAGGUUUUUAAUAUCCAUGAAGCUUGUAUAAGUUUUUGCCCUUGGUGGAGCUUCAGGGGAAGGCCCUAGGAGCUGUGCCUCAGUGUCCCCACUAUGCGUUUAGGGCCAGGUACAAAUCUGCUGCUCUGAAAGUGUUUGACAGAUCCAGAGUUUUAGCAUAAUUGGGUGGGCUGGGAUGCAAUGUAGUAUAAGACUUGAACUUGUUGCUGUGAAAUAAGCAAAUUCUAAAAGAGCCAGAUGUAAGAGACAUGGGGCAAAAGAGUUUGUACAUCAAUGUUAACGAUGAUACUCUAGAAAAAGAAGGACAUUUUUCCCCCCAGUGUUAGGUCAUGGUCACUGACCCUCCCUGCAUGUCAGCAUCUCCCUGACAUGCAGGUCCAGCCCAGCUCCAGGCGGCUUUGCCAUGUGACUCUCUGUUGACCACUGCUGGUUGCUCUUCACUGACUGCUGGAGGCUCAGACACCACCUUGGUCUAGGUGUAGAUUCAGAAAUUACUCCUCAGGUCUAGGAUUUCUUGAUCCCUGAACUGCUGGCCCAAAGGGAGGAAUUAUUCUUCUCUGUGUGGCCUGUCUGCCUUACGACCAAGCAGGAGGUGCUCAGUUCCCAAGAAAAUGCAAACAUGCUUCACCAGGGGCGGAAUAUGCAGGAGCCACCUGAGGCAUCUCUGCACAUUUCAUUCAGAAAUGUCUUGACAUUUUCAGUGUACAAGAAGUUCAUCUUCUUGGAUAAAUUUAUUUGUAUUCUUUUUGGUGGUCUUGUAAAUAGAGUUACUUUUAAAACUUCUUUUUCAGAUGUUCAUUGCUGGUGCAUAUAAAAUAUGAAUG